GACGUCACAAUCGAAAUGCACCCGCUGCAGUGACCACGUGACCAUGCGAGAGAUUCGUAAACAAAGAUGGCGGCACCCAUAAAACAACCUGUCAUCCCUACGCUGUUUGACGAUUCUAACAACUAUAGGGCUUACGUACAUAUCGUAUUCUGACAGUAAGGUAAUAAAUCAUCAGGAAAAUCAAUGUAAUC